AACGAACGCUGGCGGCAGGCCUAACACAUGCAAGUCGAGCGCCCCGCAAGGGGAGCGGCGGACGGGUGAGUAACGCGUGGGAACGUGCCCUUUGCUACGGAAUAGCCUCGGGAAACUGGGAGUAAUACCGUAUGUGCCCUUCGGGGGAAAGAUUUAUCGGCAAAGGAUCGGCCCGCGUUGGAUUAGGUAGUUGGUGGGGUAAUGGCCUACCAAGCCGACGAUCCAUAGCUGGUUUGAGAGGAUGAUCAGCCACACUGGGACUGAGACACGGCCCAGACUCCUACGGGAGGCAGCAGUGGGGAAUCUUAGACAAUGGGCGCAAGCCUGAUCUAGCCAUGCCGCGUGAGCGAUGAAGGCCUUAGGGUUGUAAAGCUCUUUCGUGGGGGAAGAUAAUGACUGUACCCCAAGAAGAAGCCCCGGCUAACUCCGUGCCAGCCGCCGCAGUAAGAC
rnacentral:rRNA from 1 species